ensembl:lncRNA
ACUAAUCUGCGUGACAUGGCGCGCUCAUGCAAUUAUGGGACACUUCAAGAUCAGAUUGUUCGUGAUCAGUUUAUUGAAGGCAUACUAUGUGACAAGACUCGGGAAAAACUGUUGUUAGAACCUGACGAAUUGACACUAAACCAAGCAGUUGUAAUUGCACUGCAAGUGGAGGCCGCUCUGGAAUGCUCCACACUACUUGCUGACGCGCGCCCCCCUGUGGACGUUUCCACGCAACAGCUGCGAUCUUCCUGCCAUUCAGGCCACUGCCAUUUACCCACAGAAAAGACUGAAGAUAACAAUGCAGGUUUUCCAGUGCAGCUUGCACAGUUACAGAGAAACCAACGCAGUUUGAGCUUCUGUGGCAACUGUGGCUCCAGUUUGCACAAUUCAAGAGCCCAAAAUUGCCCUGCACGUGGACAGACAUGCAGGAAGUGUCUGAAAAAAAAUCACUUUGCCAAAGUUUGCCGGUCGGCUCCUGCUACACAAGCAGCACGGAGGAGACCCUCACCUGUCCGUAAUGACUACACUGAGAUCAGGCAUGUAUCAGCUGGCCAGGCAGCUUUCAGGACAUGUACUGUGCUGUUGGAGGAGGUAAGCCUUCCACUCCUGAUGGAUACGGGAGCAGCGGCAUCGUUGCUUAAUGCUAGUACGUAUCACAAGUUUUUCUCGCAUCUGCCAUUACAACAGCCCUGUACUUCCCUCUGUGGUUAUGACAGCUCCAAGAUUGUGAUGCUCGGCGUUCUCCGGGUCUCAGUACGUUACGGCUCUAAACAUCUGCCAUCAUUUCCCUUCUACAUUACUGAGCAGGGAGCCAACCUUCUGGGACUUGAUCUAUUUACAAGCUUGGGAUUCACACUUCGAGAUGAAAAGGGCUCUGAUAUCCACCAUGUCACCUCCACCUGGCAACAGAGAUGGCCAUCGCUGUUCGACGGAUUGGGCUGCCUUAAAACAUUCACCCAUAGGCCUUUGGUUGACCCUGGUGUGCCGCCGGUCAUACAGCCCCUGCGCAGAAUUCCCCUAGCCCUGCGGGAAGAAGUUACUGCGGAGCUUCAAAUGAUACUGGACAUGGGAGUUAUUGAGCCGGUCAAUGCAUCUCCCUG